UGAGGAAUAUUGGACAAUGGGCGCAAGCCUGAUCCAGCCAUGCCGCGUGCAGGAAGAAGCAUCUAUGGUGUGUAAACUGCUUUUGUACGGGAAGAAACACUCCUUCGUGAAGGAGCUUGACGGUACCGUAAGAAUAAGGAUCGGCUAACUCCGUUCCAGCAGCCGCGGUAAUACGGAGGAUCCAAGCGUUAUCCGGAAUCAUUGGGUUUAAAGGGUCCGUAGGCGGUUUAGUAAGUCAGUGGUGAAAGCCCAUCGCUCAACGAUGGAACGGCCAUUGAUACUGGUAGACGUGAACAAUUAGGAAGUAACUAGAAUAUGUAGUGUAGCGGUGAAAUGCUUAGAUAUUACAUAGAAUACCGAUUGCGAAGGCAGGUUACUAGUAAUGGAUUGACACUGAGGGACGAAAGCGUGGGGAGCGAACA
rnacentral:rRNA from 1 species